ACUCAAAGGAAUUGACGGGGGCCCGCACAAGCGGUGGAGCAUGUGGUUCAAUUCGACGCAACGCGAAGAACCUUACCUGGGCUAGACAACGGCGGACCGUCCUAGAAAUAGGAUCUUCCCUUCGGGGACUGCCGGUUCAGGUGCUGCAUGGCUGUCGUCAGCUCGUGCCGUGAGGUGUUGGGUUAAGUCCCGCAACGAGCGCAACCCUUGCCUUUAGUUGCCACCAUUCAGUUGGGCACUCUAGGGGGACUGCCGGCGUUAAGCCGGAGGAAGGUGGGGACGACGUCAAGUCAUCAUGGCCCUUAUGUCCAGGGCCACACACGUGCUACAAUGGACGGUACAAAGGGUCGCAAACCCGUGAGGGGGAGCCAAUCCCAAAAAGCCGUUCUCAGUUCGGAUUGGAGUCUGCAACUCGACUCCAUGAAGCUGGAAUCGCUAGUAAUCGCGGAUCAGAACGCCGCGGUGAAUACGUUCCCGGGCCUUGCACACACCGCCCGU
rnacentral:rRNA from 1 species